GAUAGAGACUGCUUAUCUGAGUUUAUAUUUACCGUAAUUUCAUUCCCUCAUUUUCUGGCUUCUCUCGUAAAUAUUUGGAGGAUAAUUGUUACGACAACUCUGCUGGUUGUAUUAAUAUGCCCUCCAUGUUAUAUAUUCUGGGAUUUCACUAUUUUGUAGAGUCUCAGACCAAUCUGUGUAACCAAAAAUGUUGUGGUAUUAUGAAUGGAAUGUCACUUGCAGUGUACUGCUUUAAUUGUCUUUCAAUUUUUCAUUAUACUAAAACACAGAAAAAAGGUAUGAUGGAGAGACAAUUGAAUGAAACAAUAAAAUGUAGAUGCAAUAUCUGCACGAAUAGUUUUUAAUAAAAGUUUUUUUUUUUAUUAUUAUUUUUUUAAUUUUACUGGCACUAUUUAUUGAUAGACAUUGUAACUUGGAUAUAUUUGUUACAUCAAUCCUUUCUGAUAAAGACCAACAUAUGAUGUGGUCCUCUUCGUAAAAACUAUAGGAACUAAUUUCAUUCACAGGAUAUUCUUAUUUUUUUGAGUAAUUAAUGCUGUUAUCUACUGUUAGAAUAUUUUUCGAGGAGGAAUUUAUCUUUGAGCUACUUUUCUUUCACUCUGGAGAGAACCAAUAGGAUUCCAAAUUUCUGGCAUUAACAUGAUCCACUCCAUAGUCUGUCCCUUCAACAGAUAUUUGCUUCCACCACAAUAUAUUGUAAUUUUUAAAAAAUACUACAGGCAACUGACAUUCGUACGUUUUGCAAGCACUUUGGUCAUUUGAUUAAUGGUUCCUAUGAAAUGAAAUGUAUUUAAGUAAAUGUGCCCAUACUUUUAUUAAUUUUCUACAUAAAUGUCCAAUCUAUCUUAAUACAAUUUUCAAAUUGCUUUAAAUCGGGAAUUAUUCACAAUUUGAUUAAUCUCUCUUUUUACAAGCAUUUGGUUCGGCAGCAAAUGUUCGACCUCCUAGAAGUAUGACAGGACACGAGAGAAACUCAAUCCAUAAACUGGAUAGAGGUGCUAAAUUCAAUCAUUGAACCAUAGUAGAUGUUAUUUAUCACUCUCACCAAAAUAGUGAUAGUGAUGAGGAUGACGACAAUAGUGGUACAUCUUUGACUAGCGCCUAUGUCUUCAAGCUAGAAUUGUUUUUAGUUGCUCUGGGGCUCUCAUAGGUUCAAAUAAAGUAGUUCGAGAGCAACAUUAGCAAGUAAAGUCACCUUCUUCAAAAGAAGGUUCCUUAGCCACUGUUGGAGUAUAUUAACACUCUCGAUUGAUCAUCUUCGAUUUGUUUUGUUCCUAUUACAGUUAGCAAACAUUUCUUGAGUAUAUUAAUGCCCUUGAUUAAUCAUAUUUAAAUUGAUUUGUUCCUUUUAUGAUUAAUUUUCUCAUUGGAAGAUAAACUAUUUUAGUAAAAUUUAAAGUUUUGUAGACAAUCAUGGUUUCUUCGUAUGUUUUAGAAUGGAUGUGCAUCCUUGUUCAAUAUGAUGGGAUUUUUAAUUGAGACCUAAUGUUAUAGGGCCGGGAAAUUCAACACUUCUUCACGUUGUUGCUGGUAGGGAUGGAUAAGAGGAUAUACUAAAUACACUAACGAAUGAUCCUAGAAAGGUAAUAUAGUCUCUCUUUCCUUCAGUUUCAAUGUUCACAGGGAACUAUAGAAAUUUGUUCUUUCACACAUGCAUUUUCCUAGAAAACUAUUCAUUAUCAUACUGGGCUUAUGUUGUGUUUGCUUGGCCUUUACAGAAUUCUUAUUUCGUGGAGUUAAUAUUAGCAUAGUGAAUUUGGACACUCACAGCUUAACUGGUCAAAUUGGAGCUCAAGUGCAGAUUGUGGCAGAUAGGGGUGGGCGUGGGUCGGUUCGGUUUGGUUCUCUUUAGAAUCGAACCGAACCAAAAUUUUCGGGUAUCUAGUAAAUGGAACCGUCGGGUCCAAA
rnacentral:lncRNA from 1 species